rnacentral:lncRNA from 1 species
AGCAACAUGCUGUCCUGGCUAGCUAAAGUGUUUAUGAAUGCAAGAAAAUUUUUGAAAAGGGAAUUUGAAAUUUAACUCCACAAACUACUAUCUGGACUGGAAUGCUACAUUAAAUGUAUUAUAAUUUUGUAUUGAGUUAUAGGGAUGGGAAAUGAAAAGGAUCCAAGGCCAUAUGUUGAUAUUCUUUUGAUACGUUAAGAAAUAAUCUAGUGUUAUUUUCUAUUUCUUCUUAAAUGUUUUUAGAGGUUACUUGGUACAGUGGUCGACAAAACGUUGAAAUGUUGAUGUUUAAGGGCUGUUGAUUGCUGGCAGCAAAGAAGUCCAACUGUGCUGGCACCCGAGAUAGCGUCUUCACAUUUUCUUCCAGGAUCAUCACCUUUGUUCUAAAUAGCUCCCACAUAGUGUGAACAGAAGUCACAUGUUUUAGAUUUUCUGCCUUGGCACCCAGG